UUUGUCUUUUAAAUGGAGACUUGUAUGAACGGCGAAACCUUUUUUAACUGUCUCCCCUCCUACCCUUAUAAAUUUCCUUCUGCGUGAAGAGGCGCAGAUUAAACAGAAAGACGAGAAGACCCUGUCGAGCUUCAGUCUACAAGUGAACACAUCACAAUCACCCAAAGACUUUGGUUGGGGCAACCCUGGAGAAAAAAAAUCCUCCAGAAGCAAUAGAAGAAACCCACUCCCUAUUUUCAUUAUCAAGAACCAGAACCUGGUAUACGGAAAAAGUUACCGCAGGGAUAACAGCGUCAUCCCCUCUAAGAGUCC
rnacentral:rRNA from 1 species